rnacentral:rRNA from 1 species
CCAGAGACUUAGCAGAGAUUGCUUUGGUGGCCUUCGGGGAACUCUGAGACAGGUGCUGCAUGGCUGUCGUCAGCUCGUGUUGUGAAAUGUUGGGUUAAGUCCCGCAACGAGCGCAACCCUUAUCCUUUGUUGCCAGCGGCUCGGCCGGGAACUCAAAGGAGACUGCCGGUGAUAAACCGGAGGAAGGUGGGGAUGACGUCAAGUCAUCAUGGCCCUUACGGCCAGGGCUACACACGUGCUACAAUGGCGCAUACAAAGAGAAGCGACCUCGCGAGAGCAAGCGGACCUCAUAAAGUGCGUCGUAGUCCGGAUUGGAGUCUGCAACUCGACUCCAUGAAGUCGGAAUCGCUAGUAAUCGUAGAUCAGAAUGCUACGGUGAAUACGUUCCCGGGCCUUGUACACACCGCCCGUCACACCAUGGGAGUGGGUUGCAAAAGAAGUAGGUAGCUUAACCUUCGGGAGGGCGCUUACCACUUUGUGAUUCAUGACUGGGGUGAAGUCGUAACAAGGUAAGCGUAGCGAG